UACGGAAGGCAGCAGUGGGGAAUAUUGCACAAUGGGCGCAAGCCUGAUGCAGCCAUGCCGCGUGUAUGAAGAAGGCCUUCGGGUUGUAAAGUACUUUCAGCGGGGAAGGAAGGCGGUGAAGUUAAUAGCUUCACCGAUUGACGUUACCCGCAGAAGAAGCACCGGCUAACUCCGUGCCAGCAGCCGCGGUAAUACGGAGGGUGCAAGCGUUAAAUCGGAAUUACUGGGCGUUAAAAGCGCACGCAGGCGGUCUGUCAAGUCGGAAUGUGAAAUCCCCGGGCUUAACCUGGGAACUGCAUUCGAAACUGGCAGGCUAGAGUCUUGUAGAGGGGGUAGAAUUCCAGGUGUAGCGGUGAAAUGCGUAGAGAUCUGGAGGAAUAACCGGUGGCGAAGGCGGCCCCCUGGGACAAAGACUGACGCGUCAGGUGCGAAAAGCGUGGGGAGCAAACAGGGAUUAGAUACC
rnacentral:rRNA from 1 species